rnacentral:lncRNA from 1 species
NNNNNNNNNNNNNNNNNNNNNNNNNNNNNNNNNNNNNNNNNNNNNNNNNNNNNNNNCCGCGAGCGCAGGUUUCCCCGGCCCAGCCCCCGUCUCCAGGAGAGAUGGACUAGGGGCGGAGACAGAGGCCGGCCUCUGCGCUCCGCGCUCUGCGGCAGCUCGUGACGUCACGAGGGGCGGGGCCUAGCGGCUUGCAGAGGGAGGGACCAAGGCCGAGAGACCCCUAAUUACGCCAGUCACACUCGGAGAAGCGCUAACGGGACAGCGGUUCAGGCCAAUCGCAGUCAGGGCUGCGGAAGCAGCGAGACUAGGGUGGAGACUUCGGAGACUGCAGUUGCAGUUCUAGAAAAAUCCGCAAAUAUUUGUAAUUAUCCUAAAUGUUUCAUUAUAUCUACUAGCAAGGCUCUCUCUAAAUUGUUGACAAGGACAUGGUUCGCUGCCUGGUUUCUUUUGUAAACAAUGUCCAAUGAUGGGUUUGACAAAACUUUUGAUUGGUUUGUUCUUAAUUCAGUAUUAUGUAAACACAUGUAGUUAGAUCCUCUUAAAAAAGAGAAAUCUCUUAUGAACUUCAAGUACAUGACAGUUAAAGGCUGGCUUAAAGAGUAGGGUGUUUUGUUGUUUUUUUCAUAGCUGAGUGGGAAGAUGAUAAGCAUAUACAUUUGAAUGACAAUGUGCUCUCCCAGUACUGGGUUUUAAGCGCCCACUUACUUCAAAGGGCUGUCAUUAGUUUUACAUGAAAGCUUAGAAAACAGGGAAAUAAAAUUCCUGUCUCCUAAAUUAGUAAACAUCUAACCUGUAAGCAAUUGAAAUUAAAUGUAAAAUAACCUCAUUAUUACUUGGGUAAAUAUUUGUGAAAUUGUCACUCUGACUGUCUUUUAAUGUUAUGGUUCUGAAGUCACAAAAUGAAUCCUUAUCUCUGACCAGACAUUAUCAAGUGCAUAUCUCUGGAUUUAAGUACAAGCAGAGUAAAAGAGUUUCACCAAUCAAAAAUUCAUCCUCACAGUGAAACAAAGAACUAUAACCCAGAAACUUUUAAACCCCCGGUAACCUGCAUCCAUAUAUGAAAUGAUAACAGAUUGAACACUUCUAUCUGUAUAAAAGCAGAGAAAUCAGCACACAUAAUAUCUUGCGAAGGUGUCCAGAACUUAACAGUUCUAUUACCAUUACUCUGUGAGAAAGCAAAUGUUGUGCUUUGAAAUCCAUUGUUACGGAACAGAUUACAGACUCUACCUCACAGAAGGAAGUAUAAGCUUCAAUUAAGGUUUUGGGUUUCAAAUGUGGCAAGUUAAAUGUAUUCUUGAGACAAAACAAAAAACCCUUGCUUUCAUUGUUAUGCCCUUAACCCCCAAGCAUAUCUAAAUUAUAAUCUUCCCAGACGCAGUAUCAUCACAGCAUUAUCAAAACUGGAACCUUCUGGAUAAGUUACACUCUAAAGUUGUCUUAAUUACCUUUUUGUUGUUACUUUUCCCCGGGGUCUCUAUUGCAAUGUGAAUAAAUCAAUUAACUUUUAC